rnacentral:rRNA from 1 species
UACGUAGGGGGCAAGCGUUGUCCGGAUUUAUUGGGCGUAAAGAGCGUGUAGGCGGUUUGGUAGGUCCGCUGUGAAAACUCGAGGCUCAACCUCGAGACGCCGGUGGAAACCAUCAGACUAGAGUCCGGAAGAGGAGAGUGGAAUUCCUGGUGUAGCGGUGAAAUGCGCAGAUAUCAGGAGGAACACCGGUGGCGAAGGCGGGUCUCUGGGCCGGUACCGACGCUGAGGAGCGAAAGCGUGGGGAGCGAACAGG